UACAGAGGUCUCAAGCGUUGUUCGGAUUCAUUGGGCGUAAAGGGUGCGUAGGUGGCGCCGUAAGUCGGAUGUGAAAUUUCGGAGCUUAACUCCGAAACUGCAUUCGAUACUGCGGUGCUUGAGGACUGGAGAGGAGACUGGAAUUCAUGGUGUAGCAGUGAAGUGCGUAGAGAUCGUGAGGAAGACCAGUGGCGAAGGCGGCAUCCUGGACCGGCAUUGACGCUGAGGCGCGAAAGCCAGGGGAGCAAACGGG
rnacentral:rRNA from 1 species